rnacentral:rRNA from 1 species
GGGAUUAGUGGCGAACGGGUGAGUAACACGUGGGCAAUCUGCCCUGCACUCUGGGACAAGCCCUGGAAACGGGGUCUAAUACCGGAUACUGACCCGCUUGGGCAUCCAAGCGGUUCGAAAGCUCCGGCGGUGCAGGAUGAGCCCGCGGCCUAUCAGCUUGUUGGUGAGGUAAUGGCUCACCAAGGCGACGACGGGUAGCCGGCCUGAGAGGGCGACCGGCCACACUGGGACUGAGACACGGCCCAGACUCCUACGGGAGGCAGCAGUGGGGAAUAUUGCACAAUGGGCGAAAGCCUGAUGCAGCGACGCCGCGUGAGGGAUGACGGCCUUCGGGUUGUAAACCUCUUUCAGCAGGGAAGAAGCGAAAGUGACGGUACCUGCAGAAGAAGCGCCGGCUAACUACGUGCCAGCAGCCGCGGUAAUACGUAGGGCGCGAGCGUUGUCCGGAAUUAUUGGGCGUAAAGAGCUCGUAGGCGGCUUGUCACGUCGGUUGUGAAAGCCCGGGGCUUAACCCCGGGUCUGCAGUCGAUACGGGCAGGCUAGAGUUCGGUAGGGGAGAUCGGAAUUCCUGGUGUAGCGGUGAAAUGCGCAGAUAUCAGGAGGAACACCGGUGGCGAAGGCGGAUCUCUGGGCCGAUACUGACGCUGAGGAGCGAAAGCGUGGGGAGCGAACAGGAUUAGAUACCCUGGUAGUCCACGCCGUAAACGGUGGGCACUAGG